rnacentral:rRNA from 1 species
GAUGAACGCUGGCGGCGUGCCUAAUACAUGCAAGUCGAGCGAACAGAUAAGGAGCUUGCUCCUUUGACGUUAGCGGCGGACGGGUGAGUAACACGUGGGUAACCUACCUAUAAGACUGGGAUAACUUCGGGAAACCGGAGCUAAUACCGGAUAACAUUUGGAACCGCAUGGUUCUAAAGUGAAAGAUGGUUUUGCUAUCACUUAUAGAUGGACCCGCGCCGUAUUAGCUAGUUGGUAAGGUAACGGCUUACCAAGGCGACGAUACGUAGCCGACCUGAGAGGUGGCCACGCCAACCGGGAAAUGAGCAACGGACCAGCCCCCCAGGGGGGGCAGAAGGGGGAAAUCUUCCGAAAGGGGCGAAAGCUUGCCGGGGCAACCCCGGGGGGGUGAAGAAGGGUUGCGGCUUGUAAAACUUUGUUAUUAGGGAAAAACAAACGUGUAAGUAACGGUGCCCGUUUGGAAGGAACCAAAUCAAAAAGCCCCGGUAAAAUAGGG